GACGAACGCUGGCGGCGUGCUUAACACAUGCAAGUCGAACGGUGAAGCGCCUUCCUUUUUGGUGGGUGUGGAUGAGUGGCGAACGGGUGAGUAACACGUGAGUAACCUGCCCCCUUCUUCUGGAUAACCGCAUGAAAGUGUGGCUAAUACGGGAUAUUCUGGGUCUGUCGCAUGAUGGGUCUGGGAAAGAUAUUGUUUCGGUGGGGGAUGGGCUCGCGGCCUAUCAGCUUGUUGGUGGGGUGAUGGCCUACCAAGGCGGUGACGGGUAGCCGGCCUGAGAGGGUGGACGGUCACACUGGGACUGAGACACGGCCCAGACUCCUACGGGAGGCAGCAGUGGGGAAUAUUGCACAAUGGGCGCAAGCCUGAUGCAGCGACGCCGCGUGAGUGAUGGAGGCCUUCGGGUUGUGAACCUCUUUCGCCAGUGAAGCAGGCCUGCCUCGUUUGUGGGUGGGUUGACGGUAGCUGGAUAAGAAGCGCCGGCUAACUACGUGC
rnacentral:rRNA from 1 species